rnacentral:rRNA from 1 species
GUAGGGGGCGAGCGUUGUCCGGAUUUAUUGGGCGUAAAGAGCUCGUAGGCGGCUCAGCAAGUCGGCCGUGAAAGCCUGAGGCUCAACCUCAGGACGCCGGUCGAAACUGCUGUGGCUAGGGUUCGGUAGAGGAGAGUGGAAUUCCCGGUGUAGCGGUGAAAUGCGCAGAUAUCGGGAGGAACACCAGUAGCGAAGGCGGCUCUCUGGGCCGAUACCGACGCUGAGGAGCGAAAGCUAGGGGGAGCGAACAGGAUUAGAUACCCUGGUAGUCCUAGCUGUAAACGUUGGGCACUAGGUGUGGCGGACUCAUUGACGUCUGCCGUGCCGAAGCUAACGCAUUAAGUGCCCCCCGCCUGGGAGUACGGUCGCAAGGCUA